rnacentral:rRNA from 1 species
UUAAGCAGUGAAGAAGACUCUUCGGUUAAUACCCGGGGACGAUGACAUUAGCUGCAGAAUAAGCACCGGCUAACUCUGUGCCAGCAGCCGCGGUAAUACAGAGGGUGCAAGCGUUAAUCGGAAUUACUGGGCGUAAAGCGAGCGUAGGUGGCUUGAUAAGUCAGAUGUGAAAUCCCCGGGCUUAACCUGGGAACUGCAUCUGAAACUGUUAGGCUAGAGUAGGUGAGAGGGAAGUAGAAUUUCAGGUGUAGCGGUGAAAUGCGUAGAGAUCUGAAGGAAUACCGAUGGCGAAGGCAGCUUCCUGGCAUCAUACUGACACUGAGGCUCGAAAGCGUGGGUAGCAAACAGGAUUAGAUACCCUGGUAGUCCACGCCGUAAACGAUGUCUACUAGUCGUUGGGUCCCUUGAGGACUUAGUGACGCAGCUAACGCAAUAAGUAGACCGCCUGGGGAGUACGGCCGCAAGGUUAAAACUCAAAUGAAUUGACGGGGGCCCGCACAAGCGGUGGAGCAUGUGGUUUAAUUCGAUGCAACGCGAAGAACCUUACCUGGUCUUGACAUACACAGAAUCUUGUAGAGAUACGAGAGUGCCUUCGGGAAUUGUGAUACAGGUGCUGCAUGGCUGUCGUCAGCUCGUGUCGUGAGAUGUUGGGUUAAGUCCCGCAACGAGCGCAACCCUUGUCCUUAGUUACCAGCGGGUUAAGCCGGGAACUCUAAGGAUACUGCCAGUGACAAACUGGAGGAAGGCGGGGACGACGUCAAGUCAUCAUGGCCCUUACGACCAGGGCUACACACGUGCUACAAUGGUAGGUACAGAGGGCAGCUACACAGCGAUGUGAUGC